rnacentral:rRNA from 1 species
UACGGGGGGUGCAAGCGUUGUUCGGAAUUAUUGGGCGUAAAGAGCGUGUAGGCGGCUGAAUAAGUCAGAUGUGAAAUCCCUGGGCUUAACCCAGGACGUGCAUCUGAAACUAUUCAGCUUGAGUAAGGGAGAGGAAAGUGGAAUUCCUGGUGUAGAGGUGAAAUUCGUAGAUAUCAGGAGGAACACCGGUGGCGAAGGCGACUUUCUGGCCCUAUACUGACGCUGAGACGCGAGAGCGUGGGUAGCAAACAGG